rnacentral:tRNA from 1 species
GGAGGCUGUGGCUCAGUGGUACAGCAUCUGCUUGGCACGUGGAAGGUUCCAGGUUCGAUUCCUGACACUUCCA